GCUUUACAUGCAAUUCCUGUUCUUCUUCUUCAUCUAGAUUUAUCGACUCUCCAAGAUAGUAUUUUAUGCGCUUGGAGUAAACAGGAACCUGGGGAAGACUUUCAUUUAAAGGAACAACAGUCACCUGGUUAAAAAUUUCCCUGAAUGGCCCACAGUGACUUCUUUUCUCAUUCUCUCCAUUUUUUUCAAUCCUCUCCUCUUGUUCUUCACUGCUCUCAAUCUCCAUGUUUUCACUCAUCUCCUCAUCUUGCUCCUCACUACUCUCCUCCAAUAACUUCCUCCUCUGCUUUUCUCUUAGUCAUAACAACUUUACAUUCCUCCUUAGGGUUAACAUCAAUAAUAGCCCUAAAUUGGUUCUUUUCUGUGGUCUCCACCCUUUUUGCCAGUUGACCCAUCUGCAUUUCCAAGGUUUUGAAGUU
rnacentral:lncRNA from 1 species